AAGUCGUAACAAGGUUUCCGUAGGUGAACCUGCGGAAGGAUCAUUACUGAGUUAAUGUGGAGGCAAGUUGAUUUUCGGCUUGUUCUCUGCAAUUAUUCUCUUAUCCCUAUGAAAUUAUUUUAUAGUUGCUUUGGUAGUAGUUUACUGCUACCAAGGGAAAUUAAAAACUCUUUGUUGCCAAUUCACAUUGGAUUAAAUUUUGUCAGAUGAUUUAUUUUUAUAAAAAUAUAAAUAAAACUUUCAACAAUGGAUCUCUUGGUUCUG
rnacentral:misc_RNA from 1 species